rnacentral:lncRNA from 1 species
CCGGAAGCGGAAGAGUCUGCGGCUGAAAGCCAGGCGAUGAGGAUGAAGAUGAGCUCUUUUGAAUGAACAGAAGCAGCAGCUUCUCAUUUCCGCUUUAUAACAUCAAGGUGAGGAUUCGGCCUAGAGUGGAUCUCCCUAGCUCUAGACCAUGAAAUUGCUGAGCCAGUUAAGCUUCUCUUAAGCAAACUUCUCAAGUUGACCCAAUCAACAAUCACACUUGGGAUUACAGGUAGAUAAGAACCUAAAGAUUAAAAUCAGAGAGAACUGCAAAGAAGAUCAGAAAUUUAAUAUAUCGGGAAGAUCAAGGCCCUCAAUUGUUUAUGGAGCCUGAUAGAAGUUUCAUCAGGUGCUACUGACUCUUAGGACUCAGAAGGUUCCCCUCUCUCCUGUGUUUGAGCUGUUCCAGUUCUCAGCCUGAACUUCGCACCCCUCAUACAGUGGCCUGGGGAUUUCUGAAUCUGUCACACCAUGAGCAAGCAGAAGAGGAAGAGCAAUAUUUCUGGACUAUUCAUCAAGACAUCUCAUUCCACAAGCAGCAUCUGACUUUGUUAAGAAACAAAAAGGCAUUCAACCAGAAGCCAGAGGCAACAUGAUUUAUGGGGUUGGAAGAAUCAUUGUUUUAACCAUCUCAAAAUAGAAUCUUCUCUAUAAGAGCAAGG